rnacentral:lncRNA from 1 species
CUCGCGUACGUUUUGAAUCAUUACAGUAUAUUUUUUUUUACUAAAAAUCAAGAAAAUGACAAUCCAAACAAGAGCAGACUGACGAAAUCCAGGAUUAUUCCCAAAUCCUCGAGAGCAACAGUUACAAAUUGCUAAAGAAAGAGCACCGCCAUUAGGACAAAAUGUAAGCCAAAAAUCGAUCAAUCACCAUAAAGGCAGGCAUCAACAAUCCAGCCGUUACGCCACGUAUCCCCUCUUCUCUUCUUCUUUUUCUUCUUUCUUUAACCACUUUACGAUUUCAAACGUUGGUUGAACGAACCUUCUCCCCCGGUAUGUCCCUCCAGCUGUCCCUAUUCCGCGUAACCCCUAGGCUAUCCCAAUUCCCACCCCAUCAAGAUCUCCCUAUAAAUACCUUGACAGCCCAUCAACAUUCCUAUUCCAUCACAGAACAGCACAAGAAUUUCUAAGGUCCCGUCCCCUACUUUUUCAUCCCCACAGCGUCUAUUUCUUUCUACUCUCGACUUCUGCUAUAUUCUUCUUCUUCCUAAAUGGCUUCUCAAGUUAGCUUCAUCAAGGCGUUGGUGUUCGCUGUUGUCAUGAUGUUGGCCGUAGCGGCGGCCUCCGCCCAAGAGUUGGGCCUCUCCCCGGCACCUUCACCGGAUGCCGGAGCUGCUUUCUCUUUGCCGGUGUCCACUGCUUUCAUUGCCAGCUCCCUGCUCUUCUCUGUUUUUGCUCUGUUGAGGCACUAAGAUUACAGGAUGCAAGGGGAGAGGUUUUUGGGAUGGCGAGCGUACUUAGUCCUUCUAUGGUACCAGCAUAGUUAUUAUGGACCUAUUCAAUUUUAUUAUUUUAUGUAAAAAUUUGAGAUUACUGAGUCUAUGAUCCUUGUAUCUGUUGAUACAUAUUGUAUUAUAUUUAUCCGUUGAUGAGAAAUAAAGUUUGCUAUUUAUUGUAUCACUCUGUUCUUCGUUUUUGCAAGACACAGAUAUUAGACCAAUUUGUUGUCAUCCAAAAAAAAAAGAGGAAAAAAGGGGCCAAAAGCCAAACAACAUGAAAGGGGUCUUUUAUCUUUUUUUUUUUUUUUUUUUAACAAAAUGAGAGGUCAUGCAAAACAAUUCUUGAAAUUGAUUUUUAAUAUUAAGUUCGAAUUUAUACCAUGUGGCACGACAAAGGAUAUAGAAAAAAAGAGUAUGGGAGAGCGGUUACACAAUAAAAUUUUGCAAUUCCCAAAAAUUGAUCUUUUGUGUUAAAGUGGCUGAAAAAUUCUAUGGCGGAUUAAUGGGCUAAAGAUCGGAAUAUGGAAAUAGAUCUGAUACCACUACGGACUACCUAUUUCAGUUGUUGUUACUCUCUAAAAUUACAUAUCCAUACAAGGGUUCGAGUUUCGAUUUAUAUUUGUAGAGUUUUUUAAAAUUUAUUUAAAGGAUUUUUUUUUCUCAAAAGGGAUAUUUUCUAAAAGUAACACGAAAAUAUGUCCACUUUUGACAUUUUCUAGCUAGACAAAAGGGUUUCAUGUUCAAGCAUUUCAAUUCGGUUUUGAUUGAUCGACACAUUACAAGGAUAACUUCUUUUAGCUUCCAAUAUAUGUCCUCAAAUAUAUAUGGCUCAUGAAAAAGGAAAACAAUAUAGGCACAAUGGAUGAGACGCGUACAUUUGUCAUAUUAGUUUGUCGUACCAAGAAAUUUUUUUUUUAAAAAAAAAAAAAGUUUGGCAUACCAAGAAAAGAGCGUUCAAAAAUUUCUUUAUUUGUCCUUUAUCGAUGUAAGAUGUAAAAACUUUUAUGCUUAACUCGAAAUUUGUGAAGGUAUUCGAAAUCCCUCCUCCCAAAAAAACAAAACGAAAAAACACUCGUCAAUUUUUGAAAAGAUUCAUCUGAUUGGAGCAAAAAAUCCCGGAUUAACAACAAAAAUUCCGAGAAAUUAAUAGCAACAAAAUCCCGAAUUGCGACUCCUUGUUUGCAACGUUACGAUGUUGCCAUAAAGAACGAUGAUGAGGGACAAAUGGUACGUCCAAAUCAAUCAGUCCAACAAAUGAAGCCGUUACGUACGCCUUCUUCCUUUAGCCACACAACAAAAUUCAAACGUCGGUGGUGAACCACCUUUGCCGUCUUCAUCCUCUCUCGCUCCCACCACCUGUCGACCUUCCCCCCUCUAUAUAAAUGCCACAACCAUUCCACCUCUAUUCAAUCGCAAAAACAACUUCGAAUCAACCAAUUUACACACCCUUUCCUCUCUUUCUUCAAGAUCCUUAACACCAUUCACACCCUCUCCUCUCAUUUUACAAAUGGCUUCUCUGCAGGGUAGCAUGAUCAAGGCCAUGGCAUUGGCAAUUGUGAUGUUGGCCGUUGCAGCCGCCUCAGCCCAAGACCUGUCCCCGGCGCCGUCUCCCAGUGAAGGCAAUGCAGCAUUUUCUCUGCCGGUCUCCACCGCCUUGAUCGCGAGCUCUGUGCUCCUCUCUGUCUUCGCCCUACUGAGACAUUGAGUAUCGAGAAGCAAAGAGCAAAUUGUUUGAACAUGGAGGAGAGAAAGAGGGUUUUGUUUUGGAUUUUAUUACCAGAUUUUUUGUAUUACAUGUUAUUGAAACGUACUGAGAAAUAAAAAUUCUGAUUACUUUAUUAUCAUGCUUACAAUCUCUUUUCAGGCUUAAUGGGUGUUUUACCUUUUUUUUUUUUUUUUUUUUGUGCCUUUUAUACGAUGAAGGAGUAGUUAUAAGUUCAGCAUAAAUUCGAAGAAAAAGAUUCCAUUAUUAGUUCCAAUAUGUAUAUAUUGUUUCUUGUAAUUCUCCAAAUAUGCACAUAUUCAAUAUAGAGUUUCUCUUUAAUAUUUAAGAUCAUACGAUAUCAAUUACUAGAGGAACAUGCAAUUCCUAUUGUCAUUUUGCGUUAUCUCAUUUAAUUUAAGUAAUUAUAUGAAAUCUAUGCUUACACAUCAAAAAGGAAAAUAGACAAAAAAAAGCCACUGAAGAACAAGUUCUUGAGGCUUUAAAAAAUAGGUUAUUGAUUUCUGUCACAAGAAAUUCAUGAAAUGCUUGAUCUUUGAAUUUCUUUCUGUGCAUUUUUUUUCUUAAGAAAAGAGAUAAUUUGAAAACAAUAAAAAUAAAAAUUAGUUAACGUUAUCUCAUUUAAUUUAAGUAAUUAUAUGAAAUCUAUGCUUACACAUCAAAAAGGAAAAUAGAAAAAAAAAAAGCCACUGAAGAACAAGUUCUUGAGGCUUUAAAAAAUAGGUUAUUGAUUUCUGUCACAAGAAAUUCAUGAAAUGCUUGAUCUUUGAAUUGCUUUCUAUGUAUUUUUUUUCUUAAGGAAAGAGAUAACUUGAAAAGAAAAAAAUAAAAAUAAAAAUUAGUUAACGUUAUUCUCUAAAGUCCAAAUUCCAGACAUACUAAAAAAUAAUAUGCAAGUAAAUUGAUCUCAAUAAAAUAAAUUCAACCAAAAAGGGAUGAAAUAAAUAUUAAACUUAAUAUUUUUCGUGAUUGUUCAAACGUAGGAAAUUCACUGGGCAUUUCUUUAAUAGAAAAUCUAUGUGCUGAUGGCUUCUUUAAAGUAUAAGUGUAUCAUUUUUUUUUUCGAGAUAUAAUGCCUGUGAAAUAAAAACAAGUUUUUUUAGAAAAAGGAAAAAUAUAAUUGAAAACAAUAAUGUUUAGGGAAUAGAGUAAAUUAUUAUUAUAUAUCAUUUUACAAAAACAAAAAAAAAAAACCUAUUCAAACUGCCAUUUGUCCAUUUACACAGCUAAUUCUUCCCUUGCAGUUACUUAAUCAAUUUGUUUACUACUUGUCCUAUUUUCGUGGACCAUGGAGCAAAUAGGUGUUGAAUCUGUCCAAGAAUCGGCAUUCUGAAUUUUACAAUUGAAUACUCUUUCUUUCACAUAUGGCUGCAGUGUUUGGUGUAUACGUGAAAGCACACAGGCCAGCAUGAUGUUAAAAUGGGCAGGCCAAGUCCAGGCGACCUUGUAAAUUCCACCUGUACCUGCUCAAGAAAGCAUACCGCACCGCCCCACGUUUGGUAUGUGGUGGAUCCCCAAUUCUAUACAACAACCAUUCUUGAUGGUAUACAAGUUGUGAAUUAGAAUUAGAAUGCAAGGCAACUGUAUUUUAUCCUCCUUUCAUCUGUAAUUGAUCAUAUAUAGAGCUAGGAAGCUAGAUUUUCAAUGAAUAUCUUGAACCAGGUCUAAACUAGAUUUCAAAGACCAAAAAUGAGCAUUUAUAGACGUACAAAGAAGUCGUCUUGAAGCGAUUGUGACUAUGCGUUUAGGUCCUAUUUGAUAAUUCAAUUCAGUGCUUCAAUUUAAUGAAUUCAGAUUUUAAUAUGUUCAGCUGCAUUUGAUAAUUAAAAAUAGAAUAUUUAAAUUAUUUAAGUAGUAUUAAAUUUUUUAGGCAAAAUUUGAUCCUAAAAGUAAGUGAUAAGUAGUUAUUUACUUAUCACUUAACGUAAUAUAUACUUAAAUGUAUCAAAUUUAGUACUUAACUAUACAAUAAUUUAAUGAUUUCAAAUUUCAGUUUUCGAAUUUCAAUUUUAUUAAAUACACCCUAAAAGUUGGUAAGAUAACAUGAGACUAGUCCGGGACUAGCUAUAACUUUCCUACUAUUUCACCCUUCAUUUGCUCAUGGACAGCCCUUGAUGCAAUAAUGCUUCCAUUUUAAUUAUUGCAACGAUCCCAUGAGCUGAUCUGCCGAUAUUCAACAGCUGCUGCAUAUUGCUUUAAUUAUGAAGUCAACUUUCAGCUGGAUUGCCCUGUAAAAAUUGUGCUCAAUUUGUUCCUUUUCUUCCUUUUGCCAACUUUAUCAAACUCGUCUCCCACUCUUUCAUUAUUGACAUAGAACUUUACCAUAGUAUGUCGAUCUUCGGAGCUAUGUGUUGCAUUGUAACUUCUUAUCUUAUUAUAUAGGACAAGUGCGGUAAGCUGGUUAAUAAAGUACUACUAUCAAAAUUUCUACAGCAACAAUAUAUACGAGCUCGAAUUUGAUCUCAAAAUUUUGCAUGCAAAACAUGCAUUCCAUCUAAACCCGUUAGCGUAAAUCUUACGAUCAAAAAAGAUUAAUUCUUUAAUCUACUCUCUAACAUUCUACCGAUGCAAAAGAUGAUGCUUAAUACUAUGGAGUGCAAAUGAUUAUGCUUAAUGAUGUGAUUGGACAGGGUGAAAAAUCAUUGUCCAUUUUUAACCUCGUUGGCAGAAACAUGGAUCAUUAUGAAAGUGAAUCGAAUUCUGGACCCCCAAUCCUGGACUUCCAACGUUACAAUGUGUGAAAGAGUACGAUACCUGGGGACAAAAAGGAAAUAAUCAGUCACCCGCAAAUCCAGCUGUUACGCCGCCUUAAUUAGCUAUUCUUCUGGUUCUUUAAAAGUCUAAAUUAGCCGCUUUUAAUAUUCAGACGUUGGAGAACGAACGAACGUUCUGGUUCCACCAGCUGUUUGUCAUUGCGCGUUAAGUUCAAUCUACACGUCAAAAUCUCCCUAUAAAUGCCACCACGUCUUGACUCCCAUUCCAUCACAGAACAGCAAACUUCUAUAUUUCUAUUGCUGCUUACUACAGCUUCGACUUUUGCUAAAAAGAAGUAAAAGACAUCUUCAAGAAAAUGGCUCAAGUUAGUAUGAUCAAGGCUUUGGUGUUGACAGUCGUCAUGUCGGCCAUUACUGCCGCCUCGGCUGAAGAGGUAAGCCUGGCCCCGGCACCGUCUCCUGAUGCCGGAGCCGGGUUUUCUUUGCCAGUGUCCACCGCUUUGAUCGCCGCGUCUCUGCUCUCGUCAGUUUUUGGUCUGAUGAGGAAUUGAGGUUUUCCUCAUGGACCAGCUCGUAUACAUUUACCAUUGAUUAUGGACAUAUUCUUUUUGUUAAUUAUAUGCAGGAAUUUGACACCUGAAUUCGUGAUUCUUUCAUCCCUGUAUUUGUGUAUCACUACAUUUAUUAAAAGAUAGUGAGGAAUAAAAAUCUCUAUUUUGUUAUCAUCAUGCUUUUGUUCGUGUAAGAUUUGCAUGCAAAUUGAAUUAUAUUUUGUUCUGUCUUAUCUUUAUAUCUUUUACUUUUUCAAUCCGAUAGCGUGUCGCCUAAAAAGCAAGACUAAUGGCCUCAAAAGCCCCAUAUAUAUGUUCCUCUCAAAUCCAAACUUUUGAUCUUCUAUUCCUUGUUUUCCCCUUUUAAUUCACCUUGAAAAUGCCAUCGUUUCUGGAUGCAAAACUGUGGGGAGACUAUGAAAGAUUGCGUUUUUUUUUUUUUUUUUUUUUGGAAAGAAAAGAGCCAAAAUUUUAUUAAUCUGAGAUAAUGUCCGCAACAAAUGCGGUAAUAAUAAAAUCUGGAGGGGAGACUAUGAAACAUUGCCUUAGUCAAUAAGGAAUUGUAAAGUUUUUUUUUUUUUUCUUUCUUUGUAAAGGAAACCGAAUUAGAGUAUUUUAAAUAUUAGCACAUUCGAUGUUUAAUUACUAGAAUAGUUAUAGGUUUCCAACAAUGCGUUUAGGGCAGCAGCGACCUAUGAGCAGGGGAUAACUGAUUCAUACAUAGAUUUGUACUAACUAUAGUUAGAUAUUCAAUGUGAAUUGUUUUAUAUCCCUCCUAUUUAAAUUGUUGCUUUAGGUUUAUAAUAAUCUAAAUCAUGCUUGUGUUCAAACUAAAAUGGUUGAGAUUCUUUUUCUUUAUUAGUAUUCUUCUUACAUAAAGAGACAAUUUUUAGGACUUUGAAGAAUGAAACAUAUAUAUAUAUAACUGUGUGAAUUUUGACAAUUUCAAAAACGUCUAAAAUAAGAAACUUUACAAAAACUAAAAGGAAGAGAAUUCCACCUCUAGACUAAAAGGGUAUUAUACUACUGCAUAUCUUUCGAAUUUUAUGUACAGAGGUUUAGACGUCUGAAACCUGCAUUUUAUGCUUCACCUAGUUAGUGAUCAAUUCGCCUAAAGAAAGUUGGUUUGGAAAUUUAUCCUUGUUGGUAAAUAGGAAAUUGAACCAUCAAUCUCUCGUCAGUAUUCCCUGCAGAUAACAUCGUCUCUAAAUUUGGCCAUUUGUCCCUCAGAAUGCUACCUUUAACCUUUCACCUUUCUAACAUCUUCCUUCUUCCGUUCUGCUCCCAUCCAUGUGGAGAAUGGAGCAAUUAGUCGUUGAAUGAACCUGUUCAAAGAACUUUUGUCCACCACUUCAAUUCAGUCACUACAAUAUCCUUUAUUCCAUUCUAUGGAUUCAAUUGCCCCCUGGGUUAGAUCACCCGGUCUGCGGCUGGAAAACCACUCGCAAGGUCGUGGGAUCGAACCUCACCUAACGCCUGGGUGCGGUUGGGGUGGCGCUGUACUCCAGGCGCAGGGGAUUAGUCGGGCCGCCUUCGGGUCUUGACCCGGACACCCCUGUGUUGAAAAAAAAAAAAAAAAAAAAAAAAAAAAUUUUCUAUGGAUUCAAUUCUUUAUUUCAUCAUGCCUUAACCCGCAACCAAACCACCUGCCACUGUAAUGAGACUUCCAAGUUCCCAACUGCAGCUGAUAACAUGCUAAAAGCCUAAAACAUAAAAUACGGCGCCGCCCACGUUAGCCACAUGGCGCAUCAAUAAUAGCCCACUCACUCACUCCCAGCUAAGCUCCAGGUAACCGGAAUCAUGCCGGGAACGGGGGGUGGGACGAAUGCUUUCGAAACGGUUUUGUCCAAUUCAACAAGUUGUACGUUUAAUUUUUAAAAAAAAAAUGUAAAUUAUUUUAAAAUACGAAGUAAAUAUAAAAUAAACUUUUGCAAAGUUCAACAGUAUAUAUGGUUUAAUGUGAACCUUAGUAUAUCUUUUUUUUGUACCAAUCUUAGUAAUUUGGCAUGCAAAGACCGUUAUGCCAUGCAAACUCUCAAGGUCCGUAGUUUUAUUUUACACAUUUGAAUUUGUACGUCAGUUGAGUGCUGGUUUGAUUGUAUAAAUGGAGGACUGUCAGUUGACGGUGAAGCAAGUUCAAAGCAGUACUGGCUAAAAAUUCUUCUGGUAUUUUGUCAAAAGAAUUGAAUAGGCGCUUGAUUUGGCUGAGUUGGAAAAUUAUUUGUUUUUUCCAAACCAAUUCAAUUUGGUAGUGACAUAUGAGGUUCAGCUUAAUAUCGACACCUUUUCCUUUCUUUUUUGUGUUGAAAUACUAUAUGGUAUACAGCAGUAUACCACCACAAGUGGUUAUAUCUAACAUCUACGCCAAGAUGUAUACAAGAAGAACAUAUUAGUAUGAUUUAUGAAACGAUGCAUCCUACCAUAUAUACUAUGCUAAUGACUUCCAUUAAUUUAAUGGAGUGGAAGUCCUUCGAGGUUGAACGAUCACUUAAGAAGGAGAGGCUUCGGAUUCUUGAAUAUCCAACUCAUGCUCAGCAAUUAUGAUGCAAGAAUCAGCUUCCAGGGGUGAGUUCAAGUUCUUGUCCUUGGAGGAUUCUUUGGGUGAAUUGAGCAUAUCAGCUGAGCACUGAACAUCAGGUGUUAUUCCAACCUGAUCAAUGUCAUGAAGUCCUGGGGACAAGUAUUUUGCCACUGUUAUAAAUAAAGCCGAUCCGUCAUCCAGCUCCGUUAUGCUCUGCAGCAAAAUGACUCAGCAUUGUUAAGGGAACUGAUGUGCAGUGCCAUAAGUUCUCAAAGAAGUGGUGAUAAAAAAGUGAUAAGGUAACCCCAAAGUCGAAAAGGAUUCAGAUGUUUAAGAGUCAGUAGGAGGAAUCCAGCCAUUAGGAUGCCACCCCAAUGGCAAGACUUCAAACUCCUGGUAUAUGGCAAUUAAAUGCUUCUUUGUUCUAACAUUUUAACCAUCCCCAAUUCCAAACUUGAUGGCCACAGGUUGAGUUCAGCUAAUCUUAAAUAUUUGAGGUGAGGCCUAGUGUAAUCUCUUGAAACCACUUAAACAAGCUAAGAAAAGUUUUUGGCGUGUCCACCACAACAUGGCCAGUUUGUAAAAAUCAGUCUGAGGAAGACAAGGAUAUGUUUCCUGGUAUCUAUUACCUUUAGGAAAAAAAAGGGAAUCUCUGAUAUUUUUAUGAGCUCAUCCUUUGAUUCAAAGCUCCAAGUUAUUGAUCCUUAGAUUAUGAGCGGAAGUUUGAGAUUUUAAAUGAUGGAGUGCGUCUAUAACAGUUAUGCUUUUAAGAAGAUACUGCAAACCUGUAUUUUUCCCUUCCCAAAAGUUCUAUGUCCAACAAGAAGUGCUCGGCCAUUGUCAUGAAGAGCUCCUGCCAGAAUCUCACUGGCACUUGCACUUCCCUCGUUCACCUGUUCAAGUAAAAGGAAAGAAGUUCGCAGGUCAAACCAUGGGAAUGCUUUCGGGAAGUAUUAUUCAAGUAUCUCUCAAGCAAAAAGAGAUCCAUCUACACUUCUAUGUUGUUGGAAUCAUUCAUCUACUCACAAGGACAACAAGUGGAUCGUGUGUUACAGCAUGCCCGUUGGCCAUGCUGAUUGAGAACAAAUUACCAUCUCUAUCAAUGGUGUUUACAAGAGUCUCAUCCCCAUCAAGCCAAAUUUGGGCAACAUCAAGUCCUGCUUUGACCAAACCGCCCUGCAAGGUCAUAAGGAGAAAAAAGAAUACUUGUAAUCAAGUUAUGAAUGCGCAUUAAAGGUACAAAAAGCUUUGCACCAAGAGAACAGAAAUCCUUGAGCUUACAGGAUUAUUCCGCAGGUCUAAGAUGUACGACUGUACGCCUUGAUUUUCCAUCUCACGGAUGGUAUUUUGCAUAUCGGUUGCAGAACUCUGUCAUAUUAAAAGGAUGUCAUGCAAACAUGAUGUGCAAAAGAAGAAGUGACUGAAUAUCAUGAGUUUUUUCUGACUACCUGAGAGAAAGCUGACAAUUUCACAUAUCCAGUUUUUGACAUGUGACCGUCAGGUGUUCUGUGAGUGAUGAUAGCACUGGAUACUGGUGAGAACCGAAUUACUUCACGAGGUAGUUUUACCUUCACGAUAUUGUGUAGUUUUAUAUAAGUUCAUCGAGUAAUAAAUACUGGAUCUAGGUUGCAGCACAAAGCUCUGCUGUGGACAUGUUCUAUUCCAAAUUACUGCAAUCUAGCCUUUGAGAUAACCGUCACUAUGCCAGAAUUAACUAGCCAUGUAAGAUGCAGUAUACCAACUAAUUGUACUAGUAAUGCAUUUGUACCUCUCUGAAAUUAGAAUUUUUGGAAUCAGUACCCUGAAAAGAAUGAAAACAAACCAGCAAGAACAGGAAGUUAGAAUGUGAGUACAACAUGUGAUUACCAAUGCAUGUUAAAUAUGUCAACUCUCAGAUUGACAUGCUUGUAUAUGCAAGUCAAGUUACAUCCACCAUCUUAGAACUUCAACUGACAAUGACACCAACAAAUCAGCAUCACUGAAUGUUCAUAUGCAUCAUCUAAAUGUGAUUGAUUUCAUGCAGCUGUCGGGGCUUAGUCUUGUUAUAAACAAAGUGAACAUUUUUAUGUUGGAAGUGAAGCAAUGGUUACUUAACAAGAAAAUAUGUCAAAGUAUCAUAGAAUGUUGGAUAAAAAUGAAAAUUUCCUGACCUGUCAACUGACUCAUUGUUUGAAAGAACCAGAGACAUCCAGUUUUAGAUACUUUGAAUCCAAUCAAGGUUUGAAAUGAAUCUUGACUUCUGGAUUCCUUGUCAUUUUUAACAUUUGCAAAGCUAAGAUGCAUAAUUGUCUAAUUGAAGGAUGCUGCAGUUUUUGAGAACACCCUAUGGCCAUGUUGAAUACAAAGAUUGGAAGGAAAAUUGCUUACGGGGUGAAUUUUUACAGUAACAGUAGUGCCAGCACGGCCUCUGAGCUUCUGUGCUGCUGCUUCGCUUCCGAUUCCCUCAAUGCCUUCCCCUGAUUUUUACAAACAACAGUCAACAAUGCUUUAGGCACUUAUUUUUGUACACAUAUCUUUUCCUACCAAGACAAGUUGGUAGAAUAACACCUAUAUUUAUUUCAAGUACACAGUGUGUAGUACUAAAGAAUUAUGAACAGAACCUUUUGGAACGAAGAUAAAUACAAGCUAUUAGUUCUAAUCACUAGCUGAGUGGUAACCCCCGAGGCUGUUCAUGGUCCUAAACUGACAGUCAAGAGAAAAGGAUUUGCAGUGGAUAAAGAUAAAAAGCUUCCCCCAUCAACAACAUCUCUUCCCAGAGAGGAAGUGCUUACAGAAAGCACUUAAAAGUAGAUUGGAAAAUGUCAAACUUUAGAGAUGAAUAAAAUACUUCAGGUGAGUCCCAAAGAAAUUUUGUUAAAUGAAGAUCCGAAUUUACAAUAUUUGAUUUCCUUGUCAUUAUCCAAAUUUAUUUGUUUCUGAACAGUAUGUAUGAGUUUGAAUACAUCUGGAGCUAAAACCACAAGGAUUGUGUGGAUAAAGUCUAAUAAAUGUGGCUGACCUUAGGAUUUUCCUUUAGAAUACAUGAGUCAGUAAUCUACACGAGGCAAUUCAAUUACUUAAAAAACAUCAUCUGCCUACAUGGCAUAGACAUAAUUAACGCAUUGCCUUGGCCUGAUAGUCUGAACUAAAUCCAGAAAAUUGAGGCAAAUCUUCAACUUAAAAAGAACUAACAGCAUUGAACCCUAUCCACAGGGUAAAUUAUCUGAAGCAUAUAGACCUUUCAACUUUCACAUAAGACAGUAUAGUUAUUUAGAAUCUGCCAAGAAAAAAAUUACAAUCCAUCUUUGAGAUUAGGUCCUAGAGUCUCAUUUAUUUCACUCAGCCAUUAUGCAUGGGAGUAUUGUUCAAUAGUAGCUCAGCCUCUAUCAAAUUAUGGAAAAUACAUAAAUAAAUCUUGUUAAUUGAUAAGAUGAAGAGUUUGGUCGUCAUUUACCAUUAAUUUCAACCAGCUCAUCUCCUUCAUGUAUACCAGCACGUGCGGCUGGACCAUGCUCCACACAUGAUGAAACAACCUGCAGUUAGAUGACAAUGAAAACAAUACAUAACCAUUUGUAGUCAAAUGUUAGAAACAAAGACUAUAUGAAUGUUUGCAGGGAUCCAAGAACCUGGACAGAUAAACAAAUAUUUUACAGUCUCAGUAGAACUUGGACACAUUUAGGAAUUUAGUAUUCAAUCCACUUGGUGGACAUAAUGUGCAGUCAAAUGAAUGCAAAAGAGAAACAAAACAAAUAGACACAUGUGCCAAGAAGAGAAAGGCACAGAAUAACAAUGGUUCUCAUCACAUCAGAAUAACAAUGGUUCUGUUCAGUCUUGUUUCCCCUCAAGGGUUGCAUCUUGUGACACCCUGCUCGAAUUCUGGGGAGCAUGCAGACUAUCAGUUAUGGUGACAGAAUAAUGCUUUGUUCCAGAGUUUCAUGAUCCGUAUCACCAUGAAUGCAACUACAUGCAUCUUCACUUCUUUUCACCUGCUUUGCUUUUGGUUGAUUUUUCCUAAUACGCUGGCUAUAGGCUUUGGGCUUCUUAAGCUUGCGAUUAUCUUAAUUAAAUAGGUAGACAACAGCUUCAAUUAGAAGGGUGUCAAAAAGUUUAAGCAAGUGUAGUAGGAACCAUGGUAGCAAGUUUAUGAACUAUGCAUGAUAUGAAUAAAUUUUGAACGCAUUAAUUCAUUUAGUAAUCCAUUUAGGAGCACAGACUUACAGAAAAUGCAGAUUAGAAAAUGUAUUGUUUUGGCCUGAUUGCUAUUAAUAGAAUAUGAAAACUCAAGUUCAAAAGAAUGUGUUACCAACCAGGUGCCCUGUUUUUGGUUCGACAGUAAUGAAGAGACCAACACCUUGCAAAUUUCCAUCAGUUCCUAUUCUAAAGCUCUGGUAUUCCUGCAUUCAAGAACCCUCUACAAUAAAUCAUAAACAAAAUCGAAACUUUAGAUGAACCAAAAUGGAACAACACAGCAGACUAGGUACUUUUGAUAUAAAAUGAGGUCAAUGUAGUUUCUAGCAAUUGCAUUCCAAAAUGCCAAGGAAGGAGUUGGAAAUUUAGAAAUAGGAACUUUAUAGAACUGGAAUGACUAGAAUAGCUGCUCAAAUCUUUGAAAUUAUAGCAUGUUAAGAAGGUAUAACAGGGAAGAAGAGAAAAUCAAAGGAACAACCUGGCGAUUAAGAAAUCCAGCGGAUUGUCACUUUUUAUCAUGCCAGGAAUGAUAUUGGAUAUUGGACAUUCAUAUCUUCCGAUGGUUAUUACCUUAGGACUGAUAAUGCGAGUAAAGGGAUCUCCAAGAGAAGAAAGCAUUCCCUUAAUCUUGCCAUAAGCUGCAUCUUCUGACUUAAGAGGAAACAUUUCUACCAUUGUCUGCUGAAGUUUCAAAUCCCAGUCUGCAAAUUGAAACUUCACCAAUUCAGAGAUUACACCGAGUUUCAAAUAGUGCUUGGUAAAUGGGAGAUAAGUCUCUUAAUAGAGUGGAAUAAUCAACAGCUAUCAAGAGCAGAGGACAGGAAGGACUAGCGACAAUCUUAUCAUUUCUUUUUGUUUAUUCAAUCUACCAAGAAAAAUUCCAUUUGCCAAUCAAGUAUUUCUCCUCAAAUUAGACAGUUCUUGACAGUGCCACAUUGCAUGCAAUUACAAGCUUGAAAUUAUUUUGUUUCUCACGGAAAACAUCUGAACUCAAGAACAUGCAUUAAAGAAUUGUGAUUUCAUACCUUGAUGAUUGAAAGUAGGAUCAACAAAGGUUUCCCUAAUCAGACCCCAAGCUUCCACAAGGGUUCUCUGAACUGUAUUUAUCUACCAGUAAAACAAUUCCAUAAUCAGGAAACUCGUAAAACAAAAGUAAAAAUCCAAGUGAAACCAAACCAGGCAACAAAAUACUUAGAAAGAUACAGUUCAAGAACUGAAUUGUUUCAGUAAUUAGUUACCUCCCGCGUGUGAGAAACCGGGAAUGCAAUAGUAAUAGACUGUGCAAAAGCUGGAGAGUCAGAACAACAUAAGGAUACAGCAGCAGCAAACCCAAAAACUCCACCACUGACCCAUCUAAACAAACUGUCUUUUAAUUCAACAGGUGCUUUAUUGUUAUGAUGUGUAUUGGACUUCCUUGUUGCAGGUAAUUUAAGUCCAAAUUUUUUGUUUUUAUCACAAAUUGAGCUAGGAAACCGACUAGGAAAGAAUAACUUUGAAGUGGGUCUUUGAAACGAUUUAGAAAUUAGAGAAGUAGUUGAUGGGUUGAGAUCAAAAUUCGAGCAGAAAGAUUCCAUACUUCUAAGAGGAAAAAAUGAUGAUCUGAGAAAGAAUUCUUGAGUUUGAGCUGUUAGUCUAUUUAAAAGUUGGAGUGGUUAGGCAAAAUUUUGCAUGGACCGUCAUGUCGUGAAUCUGGUUAGGCCUGCUUGGAUCUUUGUUCGUUGAUACUUUGUGGUGAUUAAGUCUGUUGCGUGGGCGAGUGUCUGAGUGGUAAAAAAUGUUCUUCCAAGUGGGCCAAUAGAUAGAUUGGUUCAUAUUAUGUGAUUCUUAAGCAUUUAAAAUUACUAAAAUGAGGAGGAACUCACUUUUUGGUGGGGUUCAAGAAAACAGCCCUCCAACUUUGGUCAAUUUGCACACUGCCCUGUCGCUUUCUCGUUUGCAUUUAAUAUGCCCUUUACUAGACAUGUUUGGCUCGUUCGAGUUUGAAAAGGGUUUUGAUCGAAUGAUACGAAUUUAGCUUCAACACAUUUAUUAUUAGGAUCAUUUACUAGUCGAGCUAAAGAUGGAAUUUGUUUGUAAGCAGAUCAACUAUAUUUGUGAUUAUAAACAUUAGGUAUACAUAUACUAAAUUAUAUAAUAAACAAAUGGAUGCAAUUCCUUUUUUUUAAAAUUUUUUUAGUAGAAGAGGAGUAGGAUUUAAGAAGCAGAGAGAGGGUAGGGGAAUUAGAAUUUAAAAUCUCUACGUAUUAGGAUUUCGACCUUAGUCACUAAGCUAAAAUAAGUGGCUACAAAUCCAUUUGCAAAUAGUUUUGCAAACAUAUACAUUAUAUAUAUACACGCACAUCUGUCCCUAGUUUCUAAUCCUACAAAAUAUGUAUAAAAGUAUGUUGUGAAAAAAAUAUAUACUUCACUAAAUAAAAUGUUCAGAUCCUUCUCCUUCCCUAUUGCUACUCAAAAUCCACGACUUUUUUUGUCUCUUCUAGUCGAUCAUCCUUCCCCUCAAAGCUCAAAUCUAUUUAUCCCAUCAUUCUAAUUCACAAACCCUUUCUUAUAUUCAACUCCCAACGAUCCUUGCAUUGGUAAGUUGGAUUUUAUUUUCCUUUUGUUUUUUACUCUUGUUCUUCUUUACCUCCCAAUUUUGAGCCUCUAUUUUCUUCUUUUUGUUUUCUUUAUCAUGCAUAUGGAGCAAUAAAGCUUCAUUUAUUGUGUCUCUUUUCUAGCUUUUCGUUUUUUUAUUCUUAUGAUAGUUUGCACCUAUGAGCCUUAUAUUUUAAUGUUUUCUUUAUUCUAUUUUUUAAGAGUAUUGAAACAAGGUUAUAAGAACAUCAAUUCUUUCAUAUUUUACAACUAAUAUAACAUUUGUUAAAUGAGUAUUGCAAACUUAAGUUCGAACUCAGCUUGGUCAAGUUUAAAGAGCCAAACUCAACUUUCAACUUGAAUUCCCAUAUAAUGUCAAAGAAUUGAGCUCCAACAGUUACUUGUGCUAGUGUAAUAAUUAAACAAACACAAAUGCUGUGCUCAUAACAUACGGAAAGAGAUUAAAUACUAGGUAAUCAGCUCGUUAGUUGCUCUUUUCCACUUGAAAGAAAGAGAAGCUUUGUAAAGAGAUAAAGAAUUUGGAAAUAAUUGCGACAGGAAUUAAGAUCCCCAAAAUAACAUUCUUCAAUUCAUUAUCUGGUCCUUCAAUUCUUUUGUUUCUCACGAAAAGUAACCCACAAACAUGUUGAAGUGUUAAACAGGCCUAAAAAAGGUUGGGCUUAAGAACAAUAUAGGGGGGUUGGGCUUAGUUAGUUCACAGUCCAUCUGGAUAACUAUUAUAUAUUUGGCAAUAAAAGGUGCAUCGCAUGGGCUUUAAAUUUUAUCUACUAUGUCGCUUUAGAAUUGGCGUUCAACUUGAUAGAAGGACCUAUGGGAUCAAUAUAUCAAUCUCUAGAAUUAUAAUUUACUUGAAGGGAAAAUUGUUCAAAAUAUUUUUCACAUUUCGUCAAAUUAAUCUUUUAAAAUUUUAAUUUUAUAUCCCUUACAAAUUUAAAUUUGUAAAAUUUGGUCCUAAUUUAAUUUUUCGAACCAUUUUAAUUUAUAUGCAUAUACAAUCUAGUUCGGCCAUGGGGUUGUGAAACACAACAACAUAGAUUUUCAAUCAAUUUGCUUUAUUGAGAAGAAGAUUACUAGAGAAUUUGAUGGGAAUUUGUUCUAUGAAAUGUUUAGGUACAUGACAAUGACAUGUUUGGUAGGAGUCCAGACAAAAUGCAUGAAAUUGCGUUGCAACAAGGUGAAUGGGAAAAAAGUGGGUGGGGAGUAUAGCUGUCAAACAAACCUAUUUAAUUAAGUUUACCCAAAUCCGCCCAUGAAUAGAUGGGUAUGGGUAUCUUAAAUUAUUGCAUAUGGGUAUAAAUGGGUUACCCAAUAAUAUCCAUUUAAUAAAUUGAUAUUAUUGGGUAACCUAUCAAACCUAAUUAAUCCAUUUAGAAUUGACUUCUCCCAAACCUCCUCCUUCCUCCACCCAUUUUUUUUUUUUCAAAAUUUUCAUUUUGUCAUGAUGUUAACUACUUUUGUUACAUUAUUAUUAUUAUUUGUUGGUUUUAUUUUAUCAUUUUAUUUUCUCUUAGUUUGUUAACUUACUUAUUUUUCAGCAUUACCAAUUUAUGACAAGUUUUAACCUCUUUUCUUAUUUUUUCAAAAUAAAAAUUUUAAUUUACACACAAAAAAAUGUUAGAGGUUCAAAAUUUUUUGAUUAAGUUUUUAUGUUAACUUUUAUAGUACUUAGUUCAAAUUUUUAUAUUCUUAUUUUUUAAUUAUUAAAUAGUAUGUAAUUUUGCGACAUACAUAAAAUUGAUAAUUAGGUUUAUUGAGCAUUAUAAAUAAAUAUUUAAAACUAAUGAUAAGUGCAAAGGAUGGUAUAAAUUGAUAAUUUAGUUUGCAAAAAUGAAUUUAAAUGAAUUUACAAAAAGUUAAAAUAAAUGGGUUAUAAAUGGGUAAUUGGGUUAUCUAAUUCAUUUUUUGACUUACCCAUUUAUACCCAUCUAAUUAAAUGGGUAUAAAUGGAUUGACUCACUUAUACCUAUUACCCAUUUUACCCAACCCAAACCCACUCAAAUCACCCAUUUUGACACCUUUAAUGGGGAGGGAUGGAUUUGGUGGUAUCAAGGGAGGGAGUGUAAGUGAGAGAUAUUAGAUUCGAGACUUUUCACUUAUAUUUUAAAAAAUAAAUAAAAGAGCAGCUAAAAGAAAAUGUGAAUGAGAAAAGUAGGUGCUCUUGUGGUGUGGAGGUUUAUCCUUGGUAAGCAAGAAACAUUUUAUCUGUUUCAUGUUUAGAUUAUUUACGUUCUAUUUACACUUGGAUGUUUUACUGUUUUAAAGUUACAAGUGAAGAUCGGCAUGAUGUGAAAGUUGAAAAUCUCAGAUGUAGUUCUUGGAUCCAUUUUUCCUUUUAUAAAAGAGACUUUUCGAGAAGCAAUGGAUGUUUACAUUAGGAUAAUGAUGCAAAUUGAUUAUGCAAUGUAUACAAAUCAAAAUUUUCUAACGAAAUUCUAGAGGUAGAGUUGUCAUCACACUAUAUGUAUUUGGUUGUAUAUCUGUGUGCACUGUAAAGAAUUAAUUACCUGUGAUCUUGUCCUCUUUUUUUCCUUUUUUUGGGGGGGGGGGUCCCAAAAAUUAGAUUUCAUCCUGUCACCAUGUCUGAAUUCAUAAAUCACAAGGAGUUUAUCUGGAGAUAAUUUUGUUUAAUGGCCUAUGAAAAAUUAAACUUCAUCAACUUUAUUUGAAAGUUCUGAUGACUGAUUCAAUUGUUCUUUUUGUAUUUAGAUGGAAAAGAGAAGAUCUCCAAAGAGACCAUUGAGGCCAUAGAUAUGAGAAAAACAUGACUAUCACACAUACAAUGUUUACUUGCAAGUUAGAUUCUCUGCAUGGAAAUGAUGCUUAAGAGAGAACUGAUUAACUAUCUUGAUUCUAGAAACAUCAAACUGGCAAUACAAAAUCAACCGAAUUCCAUCCAAAUAACUUGCAUCCCUUAACGAUGAGAUCUCGACAUAAAACUAAGUUUCACUUUUUGCAUCCUUUAAUCAAGUGGAAGGGGCUUGCAUCCUUUAAUCAUGAGGUCUCGAGUUCAAAACCCAUAGGAAUGUAAAAAGACAACGUUGAGAGAGUUUCCCCUUGCAAGAGACUCGACGUGACUUGAACAAAAUUAGUUGCAAACCGUAAAACGAAUGCGGAUACUUAUAUACAAAAUAAAAAAAAAUCAACAGAAUUCCAGCAAUAACCAACAAUUGCAGGCUAUUGGUCAAGAACCUUGUCGUCCUAUAUUCAUGCCAGACAUCAUAGAUGUAAGUGUCUUUGCUUAGUUUCCAUUUUUCCAUCAUGCUGUUCCAGAAAUACACUGCACUUCGUGCACUAUAUUCCUACUGAGGAUUCCUAUAAACAUUUGAAGCAUUGACAAUUUUUUUUUCCCUGUGAAAAGCUUUUUGGAGUAAUGGAGGAGAAAAGUGAAAGAGGAACAAUAGAAAAUUAAAUGCCAAUGAAGGUGCCAAUGAAGAUAGGAUAAGCAUUUGCAACCUUGAAGGAUUAGUACUCAGCCUGAUUGAUGUAGGGGAUGUGGCAAAUAAUAAAAAAAAAUGCACUUGCAACAAGAAAUUACAACAAAUUAGAGGCUUUGCAAUUGUGACCUAACCUAUCUAUAUAUUUGAUGGUGACACUCCUUAGUGUUGCAAUUUUAAGGGUUUAUAAUAAUAAAUCCCCUUAAUUUCAUCUUGGUAUUCAUUUCCUCCCUCUAUGUCAUUUUCUCAUGACUUGAGUUUCUUCUACUGCCCACAAAUAUAAGAAUUUCAAUAAAAAAAAAGCCUUAGUGGUUCAAAACAUAUUGAUUGCAAUCAAGAAAUUUCUCCAGAAACCUUAGUAAAAUAAAAUAAAGGGAUCCCCAAAUACAAUGAAUUGUAGAAAGCUACUUUUUUUUAACUAAAUUUUUAGUAAACCUAAGUAAUUUAAUUAACCCCAAAAGUAAUGAUAACAAAAUGUAUGCUUUAAUAAAAUUUGUUAAAAGAGCAUUUCUAUAUUUUUUGUCAAUUAAACUAGUCAAUUUUUAGUACUUGACAUGAAAAGUGCCAUACCAUACUCAACUCAAUUUUGCUCUCAACUAUACGGCCAGAUGCCAAUCUCUUGUACCAAAACUACAAUUGAUUAAGGUGAUUGCUUUAAUAUGUAUGUUAUUGUGGAAAAAUUCAAUGCAAUAGACAUGAACACUUCUAAUCUUGAAGAAAUAGUUCUACUAUUUGAUUGUACGCUAGUUUUAAUAAGAAACACCUCAAACAGUUCAAAAAGACAAGGCCAAAUGCUCUCUCUAAAGUCUGCAGAAUAGUUUACUAAGUUCAAUCUUAAACUUGUUUCAAUCAUCAUUUUUCUCCGUGGAACAAGGAACUAAAAUGUUUCGAGUGACCAAGAAAGUGAAGAAUUGCAAGAUUGAUCUCCUAAAAUGGAAAAACACUUUCCAGGCAAACUCCAAAGUAAGAAUCAAUGACAUUAAGAGUAGGUUAGAGAGGUUGAAUGUGUCAAAUGUGGAGAACAAAAGGAUGAUCAGAUUUGACCUUAAGGAACAGAUCAAAGAGGCAUAUAAAGAGGAGGAAUCUUUUCGGAGCCAAAAAGCUAGAGUGAACUGGCUAAGAGAGGGAGACAAGAACACUAGUUUUUUUCAUGCUCAUGUGAGAGGGAGGAGAAACAGGAAUAGAAUCUGUAAUGUUCAAAGAGAGGAUGGUACUUGGACAAAAAAUGAUGAAAAUCUAAUUUCUGAGAUUUCCAUGUUCUAUAGGAGCCUUUUUACCAGUGGAGGAAAAGAAGAUAACUCAGAGGUACUAAGGGAUAUCCCACACUCUAUUACUGAGGAAAUGAACUCCAAAUUGACAAAACCAGUGCAUGAGGAGGAAAUCAGGACUGCUAUUUUUUCCAUGAAUCCAGAUAAAGCCCCUGGAAUGGAUGGAAUGACUCCACUGUUCUUCCAAAAAUUCUGGAAAGUGAUUAAAAAUGAUGUGGUUCAAGCUGUCCAAGAUUUCUUUGUAACUGGCUGCAUGCUUAAAUCUAUUAACCAUACAGUUAUCUCCCUCAUUCCAAAAAUUCUGAAUCCAAUUAGGUUGAAAAACUAUACACCAAUCAGUCUGUGUAGUGUCUUGUAUAAAAUCAUAUAAAAAAUUUUGGCAAACAAACUGAAACCUGUUCUUGACAAGUGCAUUUGUAAAAUCAAUCUGCCUUCAUACCAAAUAGACAAAUCUUAGAUAAUGUGAUCAUUGCUUAGGAAUAUAUGCAAUAUCUGAAAAACAAAAGGCAAGGGAAAGAAAAGUAUAUGGCUAUCAAGCUAGACAUGGCUAAAACUUAUGAUAGAGUUGAAUGGCAUUUUAUUAGAGACAUGAUGACAAGAAUGGGGUUCUGUGAUAAAUGGGUAAGUUGGAUAUCAAGAUGCCUGAAGACUGUCUCUUACUCUUUCAAUUGCAAUGGGGAAGUCAAAGGCUUUGUAAAGCCAGGAAGAGGAAUAAGGCAGGGAGACCCCCUCUCACCUUACCUGUUUUUGAUCUGCUCAGAAGGCUUCUCAAAUCUACUCCAAAGAUCAACAGAAAGCAAAAAUCUGAAAGGCUUGAAGAUCAGUAGACAAGGUCCAAGCAUAACUCACCUCUUUUUUGCGGAUGAUUCUCUUAUAUUCUGUAGAGCUAAUGUGCAACAAGCUAAGGAACUCAUGAAAAUUCUCCAAGAUUAUGAGCAGGCCUCAGGACAGCUAAUCAAUCUGGAGAAAUCAUCAGUGUUUUUUAGCAAAAAUUUGACAUGCAGACAGAAACAGGAGAUUUGCAGUGCUUUAGGAGGAAUGGCAGAAGUGAAGCAAGGGAAAUAUCUUGGUCUUCCUAUGGUUAUUUCAAGAACAAAGGAGCAGAUUUUUGGCUAUAUAAGAGAUAAUAUAAAGAUGAGGCUGGAAAGUUGAAAGAAUAAAUUGCUAAGUCCUGCUGGAAAGGAAGUCACGCUCAAAGCAGUCACAAUGGCUAUGCCAACCUAUGUUAUGUCUUGUUUCAACCUGCCUAGGAAACUCCUCAAGGAUAUCAACUCAGCUAUGGCCAACUAUUGGUGGGGGGAAACUAAUGGCAAAAAUAAAAUGCACUGGAUAUCUUGGAGGAGAAUGGCUUAGGAUCGACAGGAAGGUGGCUUGGGAUUUAAGGAUCUAGAAGUUUUCAACAAAACUCUACUAGGAAAACAGGUUUGGAGAUUAAUCACCAAACCAAACCUCCUAGUCAGCAAAGUAUUGAAAGCCAAGUAUUUUUCGAAAGAACCAAUUUUUACUUGUAAAGUUCAGAGUAAUGCGUCUUGAUUUUGGAAAGGACUGAUAGAAGUCAGAGGGAUUGUGGAAGAAGGAAUAAGGAGGAGAAUUGGCAAUUGGAGAGGCACAAACAUAUAGGAGCAUAAAUGGAUACCAACUUUUCCAUUAGGUCUGCCUACAACUCCAAGACCCCCAAACUGUGAGCUUGUUUUUGCAUAUCAGCUAAUCAACCAAAGUAGAUGGAACACAAAUGUAAUAUUCAGAUUGUUCAACAGGACUGAUGCAGAGAAGAUUCUCAGUAUUCCAAUUAGUCUUGCAGGUAGAACAGAUUCCAACUACUGGAAACACAGUGAAGGAGGCGAGUAUACGUGAGAUCUGGUUACAAAAGGUUCUUAGAUGAGAGAUCAGGCAGCGAUAAAGGACAGGAAUCUGUUGGAACUAGUUUUGAUGCAGGUAAUCAUCAAAGCAAGCAAACUUGGAAUACACUGUGAAAGCUCAACAUCAAACACAAAAUUAAGGUGUUUAUCUAGAAGUGUAUUAAUGGAGUGCUACCAGCCAGAGAGGCAAUCCACAGGAAAACUGCAAUUGGGGAUCCAGUGUGCAAGGGAUGCGGAGAGGAGCCAGAAACGAUAGAACACAUACUUUUGCAAUGCCCUUUAGCAAACGAUGUCUGGAAAGUAGCUCCAGUUAUGUGGGAUGGAGCAAAAAACCAGAGAUGCAACUUCACAAGGUGGUGGCGCAGGAUCACAGAAGCUAAAACAAGGCAAGAGGGUAACAGCCAUAUUGGUCUUACUGCAAACAUCUUAUGGCACAUUUGGAAAGAAAGGAACAAGAGGGAAUUUGAGAACCAAGGUAGACGCCAAUCAUGCUGUGUUAUUCAAAAAGCACAUAAAGAAUGGUUGGAGAUGGAGAAAGUAAAUAGGAAGGAACCUGAUCAGAGUAUAACAGAAACAAUGCCAGACCUAGAGGGGGAACAUGAGGUACAAGAGGACCAGGAUUUGAUAAGGCUGAGAGUGACAACAACGAGCUUAUUGAGAUCUGCUUUGUUGGGUAUUGGAGUUGCUAUCAACACAAUGUCACAUGAUGCAACAGAAUUCUGGGCAUUAAAGGACAGAAGCUACGGAAACAAGAAUACGGAUGUAGCUUUAGCAGUCAGACUAGUCUUGUGCAAAACGCUGAAAAAAGGAUGGUGCAAUGUCCAAAUACAACUCCAAAACAAGGAAGUGCUAAGACAAAUCAAGCAUGGUAAAUCAUCGGAUGACAGACUUGUGACGCCCCCACUUCUCCCUAAGGCGAACUAAAGGGUAUCCGCGGGACGCCUGCCCAACUCUCGCCAGUACUCGAAACAAAUUCAAUUCAAACCUAGUCUAAUACUAACAACGAAAGUCGGAAUAAAGGUAGGAAAUCAUUUCCAUACAUAAUUAUCCAGUCUUACAUCACAAUUUCAAAUUUACAAACACUUUUCCCAAAAAUAUACAACAUCCAAAAGUGUCUAGUCAAUUACAAUCAAAACACUAAUACAAAAGUGCCUCAAGUCGGCAUUUGCUUAACUCCUUCCAAUCGGGUUCCUGUUAAGAAAAAUAAACUAAUGGAAUGAGCCAAUACUCAGUGAGACCAAGAAACACACAUGCAAACACAUAACCCAAGUAGCAACAACAAUUACAUUGUAGAUGAAGCUAUCAAAUUCGAAUAAUUCACACUUCGAAUAGGAAAAUAAACGAAAACAAUUCAAGGAUACUGUAGCUCUCAGGAGCUAAAUUCCACGUAGUCGAGUCAAAGUCUUAAUCGCAGCUCAUGUUGACACUCCGUCAACCACAUAAGUAUCAAAUCCGUAGAUACACCACUUUUCUUCGAAUUUCGUCACCGUUACACUCCCUUACCGGGCCCGCUCAUCAAAGUUUUGAUAAUAUUCGAGUAUAUCAUGGCAAUACUGCGCGAGUAAUGCCGAACAAGAUCUCUCCAAUAGAUCAUACUCUACGAAUAUCUCAUGGUUUGCUAAGCUUAUCGACCAAACCCAUACUGGCUCGAAUCGCAAAGUUAAUCAACGAGUUUGGGAGUCCCCCGAAUACGAAUACGAAUAUAAGUCAAUAAGCAACACUCAAAUCGACGAUUCCAAAUAGGAAUCACAUAUACGAAUCCAUCCACAUUACUAUGUACAAGUCGAAUAUGAAUUCACAUAGCAAAAUACGAAUAUAAUUUCGUUCGAAAGGGAACGAGUGCGAUAAAGUACAUACUCGUCUCAAAAUUUCAAAUUCACAUAACGAAUAAGAAAUAGUUAAUCACUUAGCAACAAAUUCAUGCACUUGACACUUACCAAUCAAAAUAAGAGAGUGAGUGCGUAAAGAAGCCUUUAGGUGUUCCCUUCGAGAUCCUCACGAAGGUCUCCUUGAGCACCUGAGCAAACAAUAGUUAUCUAUUACACACCAUCACUUGAAAAUCCUUUCUUAUCAAGAGAGGGAUUGUACACUUGUACAAUCUAGAAAAUACCAUGGAAUGGGGCUUUACUUGCUCAAAAUUCAAGGUUCUAAAGUAGUAUUUAUUAACACAAGAAAAAACUGAUUUUCUUCAUGAAGACAAGUUCAAAAUGGUCAAUUAAUAUUGAAGGAUAGGGAAGAGUUUCAAAAACUCAAUUCCCGUCAAGUUUGAAAAUUUUCGAUUUGAGGUUCAAUUUUUGAAAAAUCGUAUCUCACUCUUCGUAUGUCCAAAAUUGGAAAACUUGAUACCGUUAGAAACUAAUUUCAAAGUACUAAAAGUUCCUAGAUGACAUUUUUUCAAGAUUCCAAAUGGAUAACAUUCAAAAUUCGGUUCAAAGUUGCUAUUUUGGACCAUUGAGACAGUUUCUGGGUUGAUUUUUGGCCAAUUUUAAAAAUUUGAAAAAAUUCACACAAUGUAAACUAACCUUUGAAAUUUGCAACUCAAUUAGAGUUACAAAUAAAGUUCAAAACAAAAUAAGCGGGACAAGAAUUGAAAUUUUGAGCACUAAGAUAUAGCGGUUCAAAGUUACUGAAAAAGUGAGACCGUUAGGCCAAAUUCCAGAUUUAAUUCACGAAAGUUGGGACUUUGAUUGAACAUCGAAACGGACUCGGAAUGGCACCAAGUUUAGUAGUAUUAUCCUACCAUAUAAGGGCUAUUCCUCUACCAAAUUUCAUAGGAAAAUUCAUUCAGAAAUUUGGUUAACAAAACCUUCAAAGUUUCUAAAUCUCCAAGACAAAGCUGCCUUGCACCUCUAGUUUUCUUUUUCUCAAACCUUUGGCCAAUAAAAUGCCUAAAACAUGUCUCAUUUAUGAUAACCAGGUCUAAUAAGGAUCAAGAUACAUUUGGUAGGUGAUUUACACCAAGAAUUUCGAAUAGAAAGUCUCAAAUCAAGAUUGGUUACAAAUCUGUCCAACAUGAGGGUUUUCUCCCACAAAGUCAGUUUCGAAAUCUGGUCGUAAAUAACUCAAUUCAACUCAGAAUUGAGCGUGGUUGGUGGCGUUGAAAACUAGAUUCAUUAUGCUAAAAUUUCCUAGAAGAAACCAUUUUCAAAAUAUAUCCACAACCAGCUCAUAUGUGAGCAUCAAUUUGCUGCUCAAAACAGAGCUCCCAGUGUAGACGUGAAACAGGACUAUCAUGUUCAAACGAUUGGUAUGGACGACUCAGAUGGAACCAGAAUGUGCAUUUAUACUGUUAGAAAGUUGGAAAUGUCUAGUUUCCAGUGCCGUAAAUGGCACUCAAUUUUGACAUCGGGGCAAAAAGUUAUAGCCAAAACAAGAACACUGCCAGAGCAGUUAUGGGAAAAAUUUUCAGUUUUGCUGAUUUCCGAAAACACAACAUUUGACCAACCAAAUCACGUUAUUUUUUGUUGAAACUUUGUACACAAUUUAUACUACAUAUAUACAUCAUAAACAAGUCAUUAGAACCACGAAAAAUCACCCUAUGGGUCAUGGAAAACACAGGGGCAGAAAUGAAAAAAUUUCUCUCUUCACAUCCUUUGAGUUUCCACAAACAACACAACAUUAUUUCACUAAAUUAAGCACUAGACCAACAUUAAUAACACCAUAAUUCAUCAAAUCAGUCCAUCCAACCAUAGUGGGAAUUCAUAGAAUCCACACAAUAUUUUCCAACAUAAAUAAGACUACCCACAUGUAUGCAGUUUAUAAAUGCUAUAUUACUUCCAUAAGACAAGAUUUGAGUAGUGGAUCAUCACUUACUUCCUUAGAUGAACCAAGCAGAAAUUUUUGGUUCUAAGAUGCUCAAGAAAACCGUGGAAAGUAGCCCUCUUUCCUAACUUGAUGUGGUCUCCAAGUGAUUAACUAAGUCUGGUUAAAUUUUGGUGUGAUUUGGUGGAAGAUUUGAUGAAGAAAUGAGGAAGAAAUUGGAAGAGCUUCUUGGUUCUUUUUCUUUCUUGAUGGCCGGCUGUUUGGAGCAAGAGAGAGAGAGUGUUUGAUGCAAAUGAAGCUUCCAAGAGAAGCUAAGAUGUGUGGCCCAAAAUUAUGCAAAAGUCAACUCUCUCCUCGCGCGCGUUUUGUGCUCGAUUUCUCUCGAGUUUGUUUCACUAGUGUACUAAACUUCUAAUGCACUUGUAUUCAUGCUAUUAUUAUUCACUCUUAAUGGUAUAAAAAUAAUGGUUUUAAGUCCCUCAAUUUAAUCGCGCGCAUAAAAAAGCGUACUUCCGACGCGAUAAAGCGAAAUCUCCAAGAAAUUCUUAUAACGAUUAUAUCACUAACUAAUAAUUGAACAUUUAAAUAUAAAAAUACAUAUUUCAAGAUUAAUGUACUCUCGGAUCAAACAUAGUCUCGAAAAAUGUGUACUCCUUAUUUCUCGCUAAACGAGCUCUAGAAAAAUUAAUUUUACUAACGAGGCGUGUUAAAAAUAUAAUUGAGACAUUAUUCCAUGUAAAUAAGUUUAAAGUAGUUGAAAUAAAUUAUUCUGAGAAAAUGAGUGAAUAAAUAUUUAAUAGAGCCAUUAAAAUAAUACAAAAGUAAGAAAAUAAAAAUCUGGGUCCUUACAAGACUGGUAAUGAUCCUAGAGGAUAUUUUUUGCUUAAUGUCGUUGUUUCGAAUGUGCUCUUUUUGCUUAGAUAGUAAUGAUAAUAGUAACACUAUUGCUAAUGUUAGCUCAUAUGCCUUAGGCAUUAUGAUGGAUGAGAAAGGAUCUUUUCCUCUGUGUUGUUGAACACAAGUUGUACAGCUUGACGAGCCGUUGCUCGAAUUGUAAAGUCAUCUUUUAUAUCAAUACAAGUAAUCUAACGUUUUGAGAAAAAAAAAUCAUCAUUUUUCUCCGCAAAAUAUCUCUACAAUAAUAAAGUCUCUAUAGGUGUUAACUUUGUUUGUUUUCAAAUUUUCCUCCAUCUCUGACACACAAAUCCUAUCCAAUCAAAAUUAUCUCCUUUCAAUUCUCAAGUUCUCCUUUAUUAACGAUUUUUUUACUUCCAAUUAUACAUAUUUUUGUAUUAUACAUUUUUAUUACAUAUUACACAAAAUAAUUAUAUUCACUUGUAUUAUUUUUAUGAUUCUUUCAAUUAAAAAUAUUUUUUGACAAGUUACACACGUAUCGAGUGUGCCUUGAUAACUAGUGUAUAUUAAGUUGGUAACGCAAAUAACAGUUAAUAAGAUUUGAAAGAUUUAGAUCCCAUUUGAAUUGCAAUUUUUUAAAGUUUUUAUUAAAAAAAUUUACUAUAACGAUGUGUGAUGUAUAUAAAUUUAAAAAAAAAGAAAAGAUAAUUGAGAAAUUUGUUAACACUAUAUUCCAAAAUUUUUCUACAAAGAAAAAUCACAAUCCAAUUGGGCUCUUAUAUUCGUCCGUCUUUUUUUUUUUUUUAGUUAAAAAGUUGUAAUAUUGUCUAUUAAAUCAAUUAUUUAAAUGAAACACCACAGGAAAUAUAAUUAUAUUAUUACAAUAUACCCAAAACAUUAGUAACCAUACAACUUGUGGAAUUAUAUGGCUGUAUUUAACUUUGGAAAUUGAGAAACCUUCAGCAUUCGGAAGAAUGCUAUGUCUAUAUAGUAAUAAAUAAUUUAUCAGGAAAUUUGGAUUCGUAUGUAUCUAUUAGUAUUAUCAUAUACCGCAACUUUCUUUAUAAAUCCUUACCCAAACGGCUACUAUGUUUGCCGCCACUGGAUUGUCUGCUGAAACAAUUAUUCCCUCAGCUGGGACAACUCUUUUUUUUUCCAAAACGAUAUAUGGUUAUAAUCCUUUUAAAAAAUGUACAAGUACGAGCAAAGGCUCGAUGAAAUUAUAUAAGCGGUCAUCUAAUCAUUAAGAAAAUAAAAAUUCCUCAUCAAAAGUAAUGCCUAUAGCAUAAGUACUAAGCUUAGAGUUUAGAUGAUAAUUAUCAUUUUGAACUUGACAAAAGGAGCACAGGUGAAAUAAAAGUCUAAGUUGAACAAUAUCCUCCACCACAGUUGCUAAUCUGAUAUCCCGAGCUUGUUUGGAUUGAAUAAGGUUGAGCAGCUGCUGAUUCUGCACUUGGAAUUGGACCACUCUGUGUUGCAUUUCAGCAACUUUACACGUUGCCAAUUUUAGAGCUAAUGCUUCAUCCAGCAAGAAAGAUCCUGAACUGGUUUCACGCAUUGCCCCUCAGCUGGGACAGCUCCUCCGGUCCUUUUCCCUAACUCCAAAACGGAAAAAAAAAGGAAAUUUCCAUUCUGGGCUUGGAAAAUUGCUAGUCUUUGAAGCUGUUCAUCAUCUGGUUUGUGGAGUUCCAAGAAAAUGAGAAUCUAAAUUAAGGUUAUUCUUCUGUUUCCCUUUAAUCUAUUCUUCUCUUGUGAUCUAUAGUUUUAAAAAAAAAAAAUUUUUUGAUGGGCUAAUUUGAUAACUAGUGGGAGAAAGUUACAUUUUGUAGUUGUGUUUGAGCUUAUUCGAUGUAGUCAUGGGUUUUCUUGAUGAAUUUUUUGGCAAUCGAGAAGAGGGCUUUUCUCUGUUCUGGCCGAUUCAUAUUCCAGUUGUUUCUUUUUUCCUACUAAUUGCAUCUGAUACCUGGCAAAAUUCGCAUACUGAAUGUAGGAGUGGUUCGAGAUGGAAAAAAAAGGGGGUCUUUUAAGGCCUUCGUGAGAUUGGUUUUAACAACUGCUUGCAGAGACCUGCAACAAUUGAAAAAAAAAGUGUUUGAGCAUAGACAAGAAUAUCUGUGUAUGUCCUGGUUUUGAUUGGUCUAUCAAAGGAUUUUGAUAGGAUCAGUGAUAGUCAAAGUGGAAUUAAUUGAGAGCAAGAACUAGAAUCAGAUGGUAGUAAUCAAUUAAUUAAAGAACUGGAAGCAGGAACCAGUUCUGGAUAUUGAUUAUGUGAAGAAUAGACUGAUCAGAGUGAUCAAUGGUUUUGCUUCUGCAAAUUACACUAUCAGAAAAGAACUGGCUACAAUCAACAUGGCUAAUCCUACCUCAUUAUACGUAGUUACAUAAUACAGCUGUCAGUUAGUUAUGAUGCUACGCUGACUAACUACUUGUGACUGCUGAGCCUCACUAGCUGAGUCAUCUUGACAACUACUAAGCUGUCCAAUCACGUAUCAGAUCAAUCUUAAGCUGAUGAUGAGCUAUACUCCUGAUGAUCAUGGCUUCAUCCACUAGUCUCUGAUUCUCUUACUUCUCUUGAUCAAGUGCAUAUCUAUCAAGGAUUUCUUGUCUUGCUACAUGGUGCUCUUUGGAUCUCUAAUAUCGCUAAUUGUCUUUCGCCUUAACAUUCCAUUAACCUCCCAAACUUAUCCUACUUAGUUUGAAAGUGGUAUCUAGACAUUUUGUUUUCUGUUAAAAGUUAACAUAGGAUGCUUACCAUUUUUUUGGAGCAUGCUAUUUUGCUUUCUAACUUUUAAUUCUGACGAUGAAUACAUCAAGAGUUCUACCUACGUCUAAUGAAAGAAUCAUUGUCUGACAUUUGUCUACUUAUGCACCUUUUCGUAAUUGAUUGUGUUUUCUAGAUAUAAUGUUUUCUUGAGAAUUGAGGAGUUUCUGGUGGACUUUCUCAUCUUUCAAACUAAGUUGUUUGCUUAAUGAGCUCGUUAAUAGUGUUUUGCUCCUGUAGUAUUUUCUUUUUUGGUGCUUAUGUUUGUUGAUAUUAUGACGCUUUUAGACUUGCUGAAUAUCUGGAGUAGCUCUUUAGCAGAGGCUCUGAGCUUUCGGUGAACAUAUGCCACAAUGACUAUUCUGAGUGAUUGAAGUUUAUAUAUUAGCUAAUAUGUUCCUGUUCAAUUUUAAGGUCCAUCAAUAGCAGAACAUCAGGCUGGUUGCUUCCACAAAAGAAGCAUGUGUUAGGUGCUAGGUUUCUUCAUGCAAUAAGUUCUAAAUAUACAUUGUGUAGAAUAAUUGUGCUGAAAAAGUUGUCAUCUCUGUUUGAAGUUGUAUGUGUUUAAGCUAAUGGUUGGAAUACAUGGUUGAAAGGUUGAAAAAAAAAGAUGGACCAUUUAUAGAGAGGCUUAGGUGUUUUCAGUUAACAGUUAUUUGGUGGUUUUUGGGGUUGUCUAGGCACUUUAGGGUUGCAAUUUCUAGUUCAAGAACAUAGACAUCAAUGGUAGAGUUAAAAUUGAGUUAAGACAGUUUAAGAUUGAGACCAUUGCUGGAGCAAAAAUUUUCUUAUUCAAUUGCUACUGAGAAGGAAAAGAAUGGGGAAGCCUAAAUAGACACACGUGAUUUCCUGUUACAUUCAGUUACUUAUUUUCCAGGUUUUCAGCAUGGUCAAGUAAGCUUACUUUGUUUUAUAUACUCUGCAUUCAUUUUGCAUAUCUCCGCCAUCUUUCCUGGAGUUGACUCUGGAAAGCUAAAGACCAUGAAACUGCUUAUGCUAGAUUUUGUCCCUGUUCAAUCUGAAACUGGUUGUAUUAGUUUUGCAAGAUAUGAUCUAGAGGUUAAAAUGGCUGCAGGUGGUGUUGUGCAUGAAAUCCUCAUAAUGCCCAUUUUCAGUGUGGAUAAGCUCUCUACAUGUAUGUUCUUUCAUCUCUCCCUCUUUCUUUAUAGAUGUGUGGAAGCCUCUGGAAAUAUUAGAUCCUCUUACUGAGUCAUAAGUGGUUCAAAUGUAGAGUAACUUCUCUCAGCAUUACAGCUAAAGUAAUAGCUACCAUAUAUCAAAUUUUUGCUCAUUAUGUUUUUGCUUCCGUUAAAGGGAAUGUUAAAAUUGAUAUAGUGAAGCAAACUAGAGAGUUGCUGGAGAGCAGUCUCAGACUCUUACAGGGUUGUGUUUAGAUUCAGGAUCCUUUCAUAGUUUGUAUUAUUAUUAUUUGUUUACUAGCCCGUGAGCAUACCAAGUAAGGAUUUUCUCAACUAUAGGUAACUAACCAGUCAAGCACUCAAAAUGUCAUAUGUUAACCCCAACAUAAUGCUUGAGCUCAAACUAAUAUUCUCUGCAUCCAAAUUGACAACAAAAGCAAGAUGGUUCAACCAUCAAACUCAGAUAUGAGAUCAAACUUGGGGCUUAUAUGAGCAUAAACAAAAGAGACUAGAGGUAACUUCUCACUUAUUGGUCCUCACUCGACUUGCUUAUCCAAUGAAGGAAGUUUUGCACAUUUAUAGAAUUUAAAGUAUUGCAAAACUCAUAAUAGUGGCUGGUCAAUGUUGUAGCUUGUUCUACGUUAAGACUAUCGUUCUGAGUAGAUGUAUCUACGUAGUUUUAUAUGACACAUUUGUGAAGAAUUUCCCAGAGACUGAGAGGGAGUGGAGUUAAAGAUGUCUGAUAGUCUGUCUCAAUGAAAUUCUGGCAUCCAAUCUAACUGGUUAAAUUUGUUUUUUUAUCCAGCUCUUGGUAAAUAUGUCAGAAACUUUAUAAUCCGUGUUUAUUGCUUUCAUCUCAAAGUCACAUUCACUUUCUAUGAGAGAGACUUGACGUGCUGUCUUCUUGGCUUUCAUCUGUAAGUCAUAAAACAGCACUCUAUAGGACAGAGCGUUUGCAGCAAUGGAUUUACAAAAAGCUUUAUAUCUAAAUUCCUUGGGCCAACCACUAGGACCAGAGAGUAGUUCUUGAUUCCAUUUCCCUGAUUCCUCUCUUGUUCAUCCUCCAUGUACUACUUUACAAUGAACUUGCUGUAUAGCCAAUUCUUCAAGUCUUGGGGUAAUAAACUUUGUUGUCUACAUUAGAAUUUUCCUCAGGACAGGUGAGGUUGUUAAGUGGAAAGGAAGUCAAUUGAGGGUAGAGUUGGGAAGCUACUAGCUCUAAUCUCAUGUCCAUAUGUCUAUAGGAGUCACUUAUGCCUAAGUUUGGUUUUAUGUGCUGAGCAUGACGGCAUGAAAUCCUCGAACUGUUUUUUUGGUUGGUCGAGAAUCAUUUCUUCUGUUAUGUUCUAGAACCACUUGGAAAAAUUAAGAAUUGGUGUUUUGAAGUGGAAAUGAAAAUUUGGAUAGGUAACAAAAAUGUGGAUUCAAACUAGGACAGGAUUAUAUUAUUUUCCACAAUGUAGUUAAAAUUGUGAUGGGGAUUUACAGGAAAAGAUGAACCUAUUUUAUUUGUUCUUGAAUAUUGAAUACUGCAGCUCACAUAGCAGGCCACAAAAAUUUGGCAGUUCUCUGGUAUCUCUCUGGCUUACUUCACUAAUACUUGCUCACUUACAUGUCGGUCUCGAAAUGAUGCAACUAAUGGUUUUGCUAAAAAAAGACACUUGAUUACUAUAGGCUGUUAACUUUUUCAGAAACAAUUUAUACGUGCCUGCCCAAAAUUGUGUUUCUGAAUAGUUUACUUCUUCUGACAGUCAUGAUGGUCAUUGAGCUAGAUGUUUUUAGAGGGUUUCUAACAUGCUAAGCUAUGAGAAUGAUAUGGUAUUGAGUUCACCCAUUUCACAUAUUAGAGGAGGUUGCUCUCAAAUGUUUCUUGAAAAAUAAAAUGACCCAUUCCUGAUUUCUAUUGAUUGCCUAGGACAUAUUCUUGGAUUUGGGCCCAAGUUCCACCAUGCAUUUUCAUGCUUUUAACUUGCAAUUUGCAAAUCUUGUAAAGCUGAGGUUAGGUAAUGAAUUUAUUGCAAUAACUAUUGAAAGUAGAGAAAAUAUGUGGAAAAGAGACUUCAAGUUACAAUAUUCAGAGAGUAAUGGGAUGCAGAAAACAUGUUUGAGUACUGGUUUAGCCUCUUGCAUUAUGAUAUCUGCUAUGCUUCCAGCUUUGAAAGGUAUUCCCAUUUUCAAGUCAAUGGUACUUAUCCUUCUUCAGAGAUUUUACAAGCCAACUUUUUUUUUUUCAGUUCAUGAAGAACCAAUAUACUCAUUUUACCUUGUCAAGAUUGGGGGAAAACUUACAUCCAUCUGUAAUGCAUUUUGAAUAGUUUGGUGAUCAAAUAUUAUGCGUAAUUUGUUCUAUAAGUAACACUGCAAUUAAUUUGCAUAUGACGAACUUGAUAGAUUAAGUUGUUGAAAGCAUCAGUUUUUUCGUAAGUAUAAUUAGUUUGUGCUUUUCUUUUUCUCUUUCUUUUUUAUUUAAAAUUCUCUAAUUCUUCUUUUUAACUAAAAUGAUAAUUUCAUAAUUAAACAUCACCAAAAUGAAGUUAUUACUCAAAAUCAGACAGUAUUCAAGGAAGUUAUUUUGGACAUCAAAAGAAAUCAAUCAUAGCAGAGGAUAACAAAAUAAAUUCACAUUACAGGAGUAAACAAAAUGAAGCCUCGUUUUAUAAGUGAACAUGUCUUUUUUUUUUUUGUAAUUGUUUUUUGGUAAGUGGGAGGUCUUGAACUAUCAACCAACCCAACCGUCCCCCUCUAUAAGUGAACAUGUCUAGAGACAGAGAACUUGGAAAUGGCUAGGUCUCUAGAAUGUAAUCUUCCCAAAUAGACGAGGCUGCCUUGUCUAUUGAGAUUUUUUUUUUUUUAUGAAUUAAUUAGAGUGAGCUUUACAGUUAGAUCUCUAUAAACAAUCUUUUAGAUAGCUGCUUAGAAUUGUCAUGAUGAGCCUGAGUUUGUGUAUAUCUAAUACAUAUCAGAGAAGGUAGUUUAAAUUUGAUACCCUCAAUGCAACGUUUUACGUUUUGGUGUUGACCCAAUUUUGUUGGAUUCUAAAUAGCUGUGGAUGCUGAAGACUGGUUUUAGCAUGCCUGGAUGCAAAGGUAUAAAAUCGAAGGAUUGCUUUAGCUGUCAUUGUUUUGGUGUAGAAGGCAGGGUGGGAACACAUAAGUUCAAAGGCUUGAGAAAGUGCUGAACCUAGCUGCCUCGGAAAUGAGCGCUUGGCAAAACCACCAUCACAGUGAAGCAUUGGUGUUUUGUUGCAGAUGUCUUCUCUUAGAAUAUGGAGACAAGUAUUACAUGUAUAAAAUCUAGCAUGAACUUUUCACCAUCUGUCUGUACAGUAUCCCUCUUCCACAUGUAGCAUUCACUCUCUGUAAAUAAUACUACUGUUACCUAUUAAGAAAACUCGGAAUCUGGUAAUUGAGCACUCGAGCGAUAGGUCACUUGUGGAAAUUGAAGUUUAAUCAAGAUGUGCAUGUAGAUCAAAUCUUGAAAAAUGUACUUUUCUUUCCCAUUAAGAGUUGUCUCUUAGGUUUCCUCUUUUCUUUUUGCAAAAUUAGGCUUUUUUUUUUUGUGGCUAAAAGUAAAAUCCAGGUUUAUCAUUGUAAGUAGUACAAUUUGUACAAUCUUCUCUGGCUCCUGUUUUUAUCUUCACACUAAAAACUUAUGCAGCACUUUUUGCUGGGGGACAAGUUCCAUUGAAUUCCUCCUGAUUUGCUCUCUUUACUAUUGCUGUAACUCUAAGUUGGUCUUCAUUUUUGGAAAACUGGUUUCUCUUGUGUGGAGAACUCACAUGAAACGUGACGAACAGCUAUAGACAUGUUCAAGGUGACUCUAGAUUUGCGAAACACUUACCUCGGAUUGCUGUCACUUCAUGUUUCUUUCCGUGGGCUUGGUUCUUGUAUGAAUUGAUAGUAUUGGCUAUAGCUCUGUCCUGUGCUAACUUAUAAAGGCUACACCUAAAUUCAGGUUCUUAGUGAAAUACUUCAUCAAGUAAUUUUUAAGUCUUGGUAGAGGUGGGAGGUCAAGGGUUUGAUCCUUGCCUCCUAUCAGCCACUAUUUGUGGCUUCUCCCUCCCUCUUUCCUUAGAUUAGGUUAGAAUGGGUUAUACAAACAGUUUUCGUUGUUGGCAAAAAAAAAGAAGUAAUUUUUAGGUUCUUAAUGCAAUCAUUUUUUCUAAAAAAUUAAAUGAUAAAUAGGGCGAGGCGGUUAUCCAUUGAUCCGACCCUAUCUUAGCGGGUACCCUAUAAUCGGGUUUCCGUUGAUAUGCAGGGCAGAUAAGAAUCAGAAAAUGGUUGAUCCGUAAAGUGCGAGUCGGAUCAGUCAAAUGAUGGACGGGGCGGGUACUCGACCCGCUCCCAUUCCUGCUAGCUAAGUAGCUGCUAUAAAAGACAGUACUUGGAUUGCAUAGUUUUGAAAUAAAAUAAUUUACUUCACAAAUUUCGAUUACCUUUUUAUCUUUCUAAUCACUUUUUUAUCUCACAUACAUCACAUCACAAAAAGUACUACAGUAAUUAUCUCAAAUAAAUCAUCCAAAUAAACUCCAAUCCAAACAAACUGUAUAAUCCUGUGGAUUCUAAUAAGUAGUACCCCUCUCCAGAAAGGACCAAAAGAGUUACCACAGAGAAAAAGAGAUAGCCCUGGCCCUCUUACUGAAGAGGGAUACAUCAGCAUAUUUGGGCUUUAACUGAACCAAAAGCGUUUUCACACACUGUGUAGUUUUCUAGGCAUUCACUACAUACUAGAUAAUGCUGUGGUGUUACCCAUACCCCAGUUUUGUACUUUCAUCAUGAAUGGUCUUUUACAAGUGGAGCAACUUCAAAUUCUUCUUCCCUUAAGGUCACAACCAUUUGCAAUGGAACAAACUGAAGGUUCAGGAGAGAAAAAAUGUGAACCAUUGAAGUUCUAAUGAUCCUUAACAAGAUCAUAAAGUUCUUCUUGAAUGUGUCGUCUAAUUGGCUUACACAAUAAGGUUUAUGAACAGAAGGGAUAGCUGGUUCUUGGAUUUUUCAACAAUCACUAAUUUUCCAAGAACAUGAAAAAAAAAAAGAAUAGUAUGACCACAGAGUUUUUGUGUAUUUAUUUAUUUUUUAUUUGAACGAGUGAGAUUUUAUUAGUACAUAAAAUGAAAUACUACCAAGUAUAAGUGGCGGCAUACCCCUGGCACCGACAAGAAACGAGAAGGCAAAAUUGCAUUACUGAUAGACUUAUCAACGAAAGACCCUAUACAAGUCUAGGACAAACUUAUCAACAAACCUAGGAAAGUCAAAAUGGAUUAAUUAAUGGAUCAUUGAUGAGGGUUCAUAUUAAAUGUUUGGCGGAUAAUAUUAACCCAACCCACUUUAGAUUCAUUAAGCUCUCACUUAAUUUUCCCAAAAUCAUUCUCGUACUACUACUAGGUGAAUAGCUAAUUGAGAUCUUUACUUGUAAAACUCGUUUAAUUUUUUAUUUUUUGAACUCUUUUUUUUUAGCACCAAAACAAGAAAGAGUUCAAAAACAAAACAAAAA